AAUAGGGUUUUUUGUGAGACUAUUCAGCUUCUCCUUCCUUCUCCUUGGCGAACAGCGCACAUCAUUCUCUGCCGCUCAACCUCUUCUAACCGUCACAUGGUGCUGAUCUUUUCUCAACUGCUCUUCUCCUUCCCUGAUCAAAUGGUCUCCAGCUUCACCGUAUGCUACUCACCUUCUCCGAUUCUCACAAUGGCUUCGUGGAUUCCAUUAUUCUCUCCUCUCAUCAAUCUUAAUUCAAACCCCAACCAUUUUCUUUUCAAUUUUUCUCUAAUCUGCCUACAUCUAACGCAAAACAGAGAAACCCUAAAAAUAUUUGGAGCAUAUUUAAACGACGAUUAUGCAAGACUUUAG